GGCCCGGUAGCUCAGUUGGUUAGAGCGCUAGCCUGUCACGCUAGAGGUCAGGGGUUCGAGCCCCCUUCGGGUCGCCA
rnacentral:tRNA from 1 species